rnacentral:ncRNA from 1 species
CAGGAAGCCGGUGCGAAUCCGGCACGGUCCCGCCACUGUGACCAGUCAUGACGACCGCCACGGCCAUCGCCAUGCCUGGAAGCCAGGAACUG